rnacentral:rRNA from 1 species
GACGAACGCUGGCGGCGUGCCUAAUACAUGCAAGUCGAGCGGACCAAAGGGAGCUUGCUCCUGGAGGUUAGCGGCGAACGGGUGAGUAACACGUGGGCAACCUGCCUGUAAGACUGGGAUAACAUCGAGAAAUCGGUGCUAAUACCGGAUAAUAAAAAGAACUGCAUGGUUCUUUUUUGAAAGAUGGUUUCGGCUAUCACUUACAGAUGGGCCCGCGGCGCAUUAGCUAGUUGGUGGGGUAACGGCUCGACCAAGGCGACGAUGCGUAGCCGACCUGAGAGGGUGAUCGGCCACACUGGGACUGAGACACGGCCCAGACUCCUACGGGAGCAGCAGUAGGGAAUCUUCCGGCAAUGGACGAAAGUCUAGACCGGAGCAACGCCGCGUGAGUGAUGAAGGUUUUCGGAUCGUAAAACUCUGUU